rnacentral:rRNA from 1 species
CACGUAGGGGGCGAGCGUUUGUCCGGAUUUAUUGGGCGUAAAGAGCUCGUAGGCGGUUUCGUAAGUCGGAUGUGAAAACUCCAGCUCAACUUGGAGACGCCAUUCGAUACUGCGAUGACUUGAGUCCGGUAGGGGAGUGUGGAAUUCCUGGUGUAGCGGUGAAAUGCGCAGAUAUCAGGAGGAACACCGGCGGCGAAGGCGGCACUCUGGGCCGGUACUGACGCUGAGGAGCGAAAGCGUGGGUAGCAAACAGG